rnacentral:rRNA from 1 species
ACGCACGCCGGCGGCGUGCCUAAUACAUGCAAGUUGAGCGAUGAAGAUUGGUGCUUGCACCAAUUUGAAGAGCAGCGAACGGGUGAGUAACGCGUGGGGAAUCUGCCUUUGAGCAGGGGACAACAUUUGGAAACGAAUGCUAAUACCGCAUAACAACUUUAAACAUAAGUUUUAAGUUUGAAAGAUGCAAUUGCAUCACUCAAAGAUGAUCCCGCGUUGUAUUAGCUAGUUGGUGAGGUAAAGGCUCACCAAGGCGAUGAUACAUAGCCGACCUGAGAGGGUGAUCGGCCACAUUGGGACUGAGACACGGCCCAAACUCCUACGGGAGGCAGCAGUAGGGAAUCUUCGGCAAUGGACGAAAGUCUGACCGAGCAACGCCGCGUGAGUGAAGAAGGUUUUCGGAUCGUAAAACUCUGUUGGUAGAGAAGAACGUUGGUGAGAGUGGAAAGCUCAUCAAGUGACGGUAACUACCCAGAAAGGGACGGCUAACUACGUG